GACGUAGGAUGCAAGCGUUGUCCGGAAUUAUUGGGCGUAAAGAGUUCGUAGGCGGUUACUUAAGUCUGGUGUUAAAGACGGGAGCUCAACUCCCGCAUGGCAUUGGAAACUGGGUGGCUAGAGUACGGUAGAGGUCUCGGGAAUUCCAGGUGUAGCGGUGAAAUGCGUAGAUAUCGUCAGGAACGCCAAUGGUGAAGACAGGUAACUGGGCUAGUUCUGACACUGAGGCACGAAAGCGUGGGGAGCGAACGGG
rnacentral:rRNA from 1 species